rnacentral:pre_miRNA from 13 species
ACUGUAAGGAACUGACUUUGAGUCUCUCCUUAGGGUGCUGCAGGCAAAGCUGGGGACCCAGGGAGAGAUGUAAGUAAGGGGAAUUGUUGGGAUAGA